rnacentral:rRNA from 1 species
GAGUUUGAUCCUGGCUCAGAAUGAACGCUGGCGGCAUGCCUAACACAUGCAAGUCGAACGAAGGCUUCGGCCUUAGUGGCGCACGGGUGCGUAACGCGUGGGAAUCUGCCCUCAGGUUCGGAAUAACAGCGAGAAAUUGCUGCUAAUACCGGAUGAUAUCGCGAGAUCAAAGAUUUAUCGCCUGAGGAUGAGCCCGCGUAGGAUUAGCUAGUUGGUGUGGUAAAGGCGCACCAAGGCGACGAACCUUAGCUGGUCUGAGAGGAUGAUCAGCCACACUGGGACUGAGACACGGCCCAGACUCCUACGGGAGGCAGCAGUGGGGAAUAUUGGACAAUGGGCGAAAGCCUGAUCCAGCAAUGCCGCGUGAGUGAUGAAGGCCUUAGGGUUGUAAAGCUCUUUUACCCGGGAUGAUAAUGACAGUACCGGGAGAAUAAGCUCCGGCUAACUCCGUGCCAGCAGCCGCGGUAA